rnacentral:sRNA from 1 species
UUUACAUUUUAGUUUGAUUGGAUUAAAAUAAAAGAAAUAAUUUGUUUAGUAUAAAAUAAAUACUUGUUAUAAUUUAAAGGAUCAUUUUGUAAAUAAUAAAGUUCACCUUCAAAAAAUGAAGAUGCGAAUAGUGUACCUUGAAAUAUGAAGAUUCACUGUUCAAUUCUUCAUCUACAUAUACAUUUUUGCAGCCAUUUUGUGAAAUAAAUCUUGUAGUUGAGACUUAUUUACAAUGGCUGCCACUAGAUUUUAAUGUUUGUUUUUGAUAAUUAGAAAAAAAAUCUUUGAUUAAAUAUUUGACAUUUAACAAUUUUCCCUAAAUCUCUUCACAUUAACUACACGAUUAGUUACUAAAAUAAAACUUCCAAAAUAUUUAAUAUCAUUUAAUUACUACAAAAUUAU